rnacentral:misc_RNA from 1 species
AAGUCGUAACAAGGUUUCCGUAGGUGAACCUGCGGAAGGAUCAUUAAUGAAUAACUUGAUGUGGUUGUAGCUGGCUCUUAGGAGCAUGUGCACGCCCGUCAUCUUAUCUUUCCACCUGUGCACACUAUGUAGAUCUGGAUAACUCUCGCUCUUCGGAGCGGAAACAAGGAUUGCUGCGUCGCAAGGGCGGCUCUCUUUGAAUUUCCAGGUCUAUGUUAUUACAAACUCCAAUUGAAUGAUGAAGAAUGUAGUCAAUGGGCUUCGUGCCUAUAAAACACUAUACAACUUUCAGCAACGGAUCUCUUGGCUCUCU